UCGCAAUCGCUACUAAGGAAAGGGGAAAGUCAAAUGGGCAGCAAAUGCAAAACCCCAACCCGGAAGGCAGAAAACCACAAUAAACAAGGCACGCAACGAAUCGGAUCCCGAUUCCGAUUUAAUUCCCGCAAAUCCGACCGAUUAAUCCCCCGGCCCCCGCCGGCCGCUUCAUGCUCCGGUCAUUCCCGUCCCCCCACCGCGCUGCCUCCACCGCCGCGGCCGCCGCGGCGAUGCGCCCCGCGUCCUCCUCCUCCCGCUCCUCGGCCGGCGGAGGCGGGGCCCACCACCACCAUGGUCACCAUGCCUCCGUCUCCCCGUUGCCGUCGACGUGCAGGCACACGCCGUCGUCGGCGACGCUCGAUCUCCUCAUCCUGCUGCUCGUGCUCUUCUCUCUCGCCUUCCUGCUCGCCUCCUCGCUCGCGCACGUCUCCCGCGCGCUCUCCCCGCUGCUCGCCUCGCCGCCCGCCGUCGCCGCACUCAACUACGCCGCGGCCGCGCUGCCCUACCUCGCCGCGGCGGCCGUGCUCUCCGCCGCCGCCUUCCUCUCCUGCCGCCGGCUCCCGCGCCGCCGGUGCCGCAACCCGCGCUGCCGCGGGCUCAGGAAGGCGCUCGAGUUCGACGUCCAGCUGCAGACCGAGGAGGCUGUGCGCGCCGGCGCCGGGAGCACCGUCGGCGGUGCUGACGCCGCCAUGUGGCGCGAGAUCGAGGCGCUGCCGUGGAAGGGAGGGCAGGGCGGGAACAAUCCGGACUACGAGUGCCUCCGCGCGGAGCUCCGGCGGAUGGCGCCGCCCAACGGCCGCGCGGUGCUGCUCUUCCGCAACAGGUGUGGCUGCCCUGUUGCUAAGCUUGAGGGCUGGGGCACUCCCAAGAGCAAACGGCGCAACAAGAAGAACCGAGCCUAGCUUGUUGGUUGAGGGUGUCGAUGUAUGCCUAGACCAUCCAGUUUUGAGACUUCUUCGACGCGAAUUUGGGUGUCUAUUUCUUCUUAUCUACAAUGCCACCUAGUUCUUCCUAGGGGCACGCAAGGUUCGUUCCAUGACCGAGGGGUGAGGUGAAUAGAAGUCUGAUGGUCACCAGUUGCAACAACAUUGUUGCUUUAGACCGCCAUGUUGUUGAAUGAUACAUCCAAUGAAAGAUACAUCGAUUACAAGUGAUUGCGCCAUGAUUGUAUUGUUAGACGGGGUUCACCCCAACAGAUAUACUGAUACGAGACAAACGAUGCAAGAAUAAAGAACUGUUAAAGGACAACAAAACAUAAACAUUGGGGAUGUUGUCAUGCUUCUCGUGUUGCGCUUUUGCCUUUGUUUUCUCACACACAAUGCAGGGAACCAUGUUGAUCGCCCAAAAGGCCUGAACAAUAUAUGCUCGAUGUUGUGAUUAAA